GCUGGCGGCGUGCUUAACACAUGCAAGUGGUGCGACGAACCAGGGCUUGCCCUGGGGCUAAGCCGCGAACGGGUGAGUAACACGUGAGUAACCUGCCCCGAUGACCGGGACAACCCGAGGAAACUCGGGCUAAUACCGGAUGUGGUGCACAUUCAUAAGUUUGUGUACUAAAGGAAGCUUCGGCCUCCGCAUUGGGAGGGGCUCGCGGCCCAUUAGCUUGUUGGUGGGGUCAAGGCCUACCAAGGCGACGAUGGGUAGCUGGUCUGAGAGGACGAUCAGCCACACUGGGACUGAGACACGGCCCAGACUCCUACGGGAGGCAGCAGUGGGGAAUCUUGCGCAAUGCGCGAAAGCGUGACGCAGCAACGCCGCGUGGGGGAAGACGGCCUUCGGGUUGUAAACCCCUUUCAGGAGGGACGAAGGUUCACCGGUGAAUAGCCGUGUGGAUUGACGGUACCUCCACAAGAAGCUCCGGCUAACUACGUGCCAGCAGCCGCGGUAAUACGUAGGGAGCAAGCGUUGUCCGGAAUCAUUGGGCGUAAAGCGCGCGUAGGUGGCUCCAUAAGUCCGUCGUGAAAGUCAAAGGCUCAACCUUUGAAAGCCGAUGGAUACUGUGGAGCUAGAGUCCGGAAGAGGCG
rnacentral:rRNA from 1 species